UACGGAGGAUGCGAGCGUUAUCAGGAUUUAUUGGGUUUAAAGGGUGCGUAGGCGGCUUUUUAAGUCAGUGGUGAAAGUCUGUCGCUUAACGGUAGGAUUGCCAUUGAUACUGUUGGACUUGAAUAUGGAUGAGGUAGGCGGAAUGUGUAGUGUAGCGGUGAAAUGCAUAGAUAUUACACAGAACACCGAUUGCGAAGGCAGCUUACUAAUCCAUCAUUGACGCUGAGGCACGAAAGCGUGGGGAUCAAACAGGA
rnacentral:rRNA from 1 species